UGGGAGAUGAUGAUUUAAUUAACCUGGCUAAUAGGAGGCGUGCAGCGGGAGUAGUUGCACCUGUAAAUCAAAAUCGUCUAUUCAGAGGAAAACUAGACCGCCAAGCUGUGCAGUUUGAUAUUAACAUUGAUGAUGACGAUUUGGACAGAGAUGGAGCUAUAGGGGAAAUCAUUCUACUACCACUAGCUCCUGGGGUGAAAUUCAACAUUACCAGUACUAUGAUCCAG
rnacentral:lncRNA from 1 species